rnacentral:tRNA from 1 species
GGGACUGUAGCUCAGCGGUUAGAGCAGGUGGCUCAUAACCACUUGGUCGCGGGUUCGAACCCCGCCGGUCCCACCA